UACGUAGGGUCCAAGCGUUGUCCGGAUUUAUUGGGCGUAAAGAGCUCGUAGGCGGCUUAGUAAGUCGGAUGUGAAAACUCGGGGCUCAACCCCGAGACGCCAUCCGAUACUGCUGUGGCUUGAGUCUGGUAGGGGAACACGGAAUUCCUGGGUGUAGCGGUGAAAUGCGCAGAUAUCAGGAGGAACACCGAUGGCGAAGGCAGUGUUCUGGGCCAGUACUGACGCUGAGGCGCGAAAGCUAGGGGAGCGAACAGG
rnacentral:rRNA from 1 species